UGCGUAGGCGGCGCGGUAAGUCGGGUGUGAAAUUUCGGAGCUUAACUCCGAAACUGCAUUCGAUACUGCCGUGCUUGAGGACUGGAGAGGAGACUGGAAUUUACGGUGUAGCAGUGAAAUGCGUAGAGAUCGUAAGGAAGACCAGUGGCGAAGGCGGGUCUCUGGACAGUUCCUGACGCUGAGGCACGAAGGCCAGGGGAGCAAACG
rnacentral:rRNA from 1 species